rnacentral:rRNA from 1 species
AUUGAACGCUGGCGGCAGGCCUAACACAUGCAAGUCGAGCGGAUGAAGGGAGCUUGCUCCUGGAUUCAGCGGCGGACGGGUGAGUAAUGCCUAGGAAUCUGCCUGGUAGUGGGGGAUAACGUCCGGAAACGGGCGCUAAUACCGCAUACGUCCUGAGGGAGAAAGUGGGGGAUCUUCGGAACUCACGCUAUCAGAUGAGCCUAGGUCGGAUUAGCUAGUUGGUUGGGUAAGGGCCUACCAAGGCGACGAUCCGUAACUGGUCUGAGAGGAUGAUCAGUCACACUGGAACUGAGACACGGUCCAGACGCCUACGGGAGGCAGCAGUGGGGAAUAUUGGACAAUGGGCGAAAGCCUGAUCCAGCCAUGCCGCGUGUGUGAAGAAGGUCUUCGGAUUGUAAAGCACUUUAAGUUGGGAGGAAGGGCAGUAAGUUAAGACCUUGCUGUUUUGACGUUACCAACAGAAUAAGCACCGGCUAACUUCGUG